rnacentral:tRNA from 1 species
GUCCUUGUAGCUUAUGAAAAGCAUGACACUGAAGAUGUCAAGAUGGUUGCCACACGCACCCGAGGACA